ACGGCUCAGUAACACGUCGAUAACCUGCCUUGAGGUCUGGGAUCACCUUGGGAAACUGAGGGCAAACCCGGAUAUGGAAUGAAUACUGGAACGUAUCAUUCUUCAAAGGAAACGCCUCAAGAUGGGUCGGCGGCCUAUCAGGUAGUUGGUGAGGUAAUGGCUCACCAAGCCGAAGACGGGUAGGGGCCUUGAGAGAGGUUGCCCCGAGAAGGACACUGAGAUACGGGUCCUAGCCCCUAAGGGGUGCAGCAGUCACGAAAACUCUGCAAUGCGCGAAAGCGUGACAGGGGGAUUCUGAGUGCUCAUACACAGUAUGGGCUUUUCUUCAGAGCAAAAAUCUGAGGGAAUAAGUGGUGGUCAAGACUGGUGCCAGCCGCCGCGGUAACCCCAAGCGCCACAAGUAAGGAACCACGCUUAUUGGGUCUAAAGCGGUCCCGUAGCCGGGUCCCUUUAAAUGCCCUGUGAAAUUCGCCCGAAGCUCAACUGGACGGGCGUGCAGGGGUAGACUUGGAGGACUUGAGCCCCAGGAAAGGCAAGCCAGUAUUCCCCGGGGGAAGCGGUAAAAUGUGAUAAUCCCGGGAGGACUACCCGAUGCGAAGGCAGCCUGCUAGAAUGGAUCUGACGGUGAGGGAUGAAAGCUAGGGGAGCGAUCCGGAUUAGAUACCCGAGUAGUCCUAGCCGUAAACGCUGAGAGCCAGAUGUUACGGAUUCCUCGAGAAUCCGUAGUGUCGAAAAGAAGUUGCUAAGCUCUCCACCUGGGAAGUACGGUCGCAAGGCUGAAACUUAAAGGAAUUGGCGGGGGAGCAC
rnacentral:rRNA from 1 species